UACGAAGGGUGCAAGCGUUAAUCGGAAUUAUUGGGCGUAAAGAGCUCGUAGGCGGCUUGUCGCGUCGGAUGUGAAAGCCCGGGGCUUAACUCCGGGUCUGCAUUCGAUACGGGCAGGCUAGAGUUCGGUAGGGGAGAUCGGAAUUCCUGGUGUAGCGGUGAAAUGCGCAGAUAUCAGGAGGAACACCGGUGGCGAAGGCGGAUCUCUGGGCCGUUACUGACGCUGAGGAGCGAAAGCGUGGGGAGCGAACAGG
rnacentral:rRNA from 1 species